CCCCCUGUAGCUCAGAUUGGGUAGAGAGCGCUGGCCUGAAAAGCUAGAGGUCACGAGUUCGAAUCUCGUCGGGGGGAC
rnacentral:tRNA from 1 species